UAAAGUGGCGCACGGGUGAGUAACGCGUGGGUAACCUGUCCUUAAAUUUGGGAUAAUCCACCGAAAGGUGGCCUAAUACCAAAUAUAGUCCCGAGAACCAAGGUUCUUGGGAUGAAAGCUGACCUCUUCAUGAAAGUUGGCGUUUGAGGAGGGGCUCGCGUACCAUUAGCUUGUUGGUAGGGUAAUGGCCUACCAAGGCGACGAUGGUUAGCUGGUCUGAGAAGAUGGCCAGCCACACUGGAACUGAAACACGGUCCAGACUCCUACGGGAGGCAGCAGUGAGGAAUCUUGCGCAAUGGGGGAAACCCUGACGCAGCGACGCCGUGUGAGUGAAGAAGGCCUUCGGGUCGUAAAGCUCUGUCAAGUGGGAAUAAAGUCCCGCGGUGAAUACCCGAGAGAUUUGAAGGUACCACUAAAGGAAGCACCGGCUAACUCCGUGCCAGCAGCCGCGGUAAUACGGAGGGUGCAAGCGUUAUUCGGAUUUAUUGGGCGUAAAGAGCGUGUAGGCGGUUGGGAUAGUCAGAUGUGAAAGCCUUCUGCUCAACAGAAGAAGUACGUCUGAAACUGCCCAACUUGAGUACGAGAGAGGAAAGUGGAAUUCCCAGUGUAGAGGUGAAAUUCGUAGAUAUUGGGAGGAACACCUGU
rnacentral:rRNA from 1 species